rnacentral:rRNA from 1 species
GACGAACGCUGGCGGCGUGCUUAACACAUGCAAGUCGAACGGAAAGGCCCUGCUUUUGUGGGGUGCUCGAGUGGCGAACGGGUGAGUAACACGUGAGUAACCUGCCCUUGACUUUGGGAUAACUUCAGGAAACUGGGGCUAAUACCGGAUAGGAGCUCCUGCUGCAUGGUGGGGGUUGGAAAGUUUCGGCGGUUGGGGAUGGACUCGCGGCUUAUCAGCUUGUUGGUGGGGUAGUGGCUUACCAAGGCUUUGAGGGGUAGCCGGCCUGAGAGGGUGACCGGCCACAUUGGGACUGAGAUACGGCCCAGACUCGUACGGGAGGCAGCAGUGGGGAAUAUUGCACAAUGGGCGGAAGCCUGAUGCAGCAACGCCGCGUGCGGGAUGACGGCCUUCGGGUUGUAAACCGCUUUCGCCUGUGACGAAGCGUGAGUGACGGUAAUGGGUAAAGAAGCACCGGCUAACUACGUG